rnacentral:rRNA from 1 species
GCAGUCGAACGAAGUAGCAAUACUUAGUGGCAGACGGGUGAGUAACAUGUGGGUAUCUUCCCUUUGGCCUGGAAUAACACGAGGAAACUUGUGCUAAUACUGGAUAAGUCUUUACGGAGAAAGCUUUAUGCACCAUUGGAUGAGCCUGCACUUGAUUAGUUUGUUGGUGGGGUAAUGGCCUACCAAGACUUUGAUCAAUAGCUGAUUUGAGAGGAUGAUCAGCCACAUUGGGACUGAGACACGGCCCAAACUCCUACGGGAGGCAGCAGUGGGGAAUCUUGCACAGUGGAGGAAACUCUGAUGCAGCGAUGCCGCGUGAGUGAAGAAGGCCUUUGGGUUGUAAAGCUCUUUCGUCGGGGAAGAAAAUGACUGUACCCGAAUAAGAAGGUCCGGCUAACUUCGUGCCAGCAGCCGCGGUAAUACGAAGGGACCUAGCGUAGUUCGGAAUUACUGGGCUUAAAGAGUUCGUAGGUGGUUGAAAAAGUUGGUGGUGAAAUCCCAGAGCUUAACUCUGGAACUGCCAUCAAAACUUUUCAGCUAGAGUUUGAUAGAGGAAAGCAGAAUUUCUAGUGUAGAGGUGAAAUUCGUAGAUAUUAGAAAGAAUACCAAUUGCGAAGGCAGCUUUCUGGAUCAUUACUGACACUGAGGAACGAAAGCAUGGGUAGCGAAGAGGAUUAGAUACCCUCGUAGUCCAUGCCGUAAACGAUGUGUGUUAGACGUUGGAAAUUUAUUUUCAGUGUCGCAGCGAAAGCGAUAAACACACCGCCUGGGGAGUACGACCGCAAGGUUAAAACUCAAAUGAAUUGACGGGGACCCGCACAAGU